rnacentral:rRNA from 1 species
UACGUAGGGGGCAACGUUGUCCGGAAUUAUUGGGCGUAAAGAGCUUGUAGGCGGUUUGUCGCGUCUGCCGUGAAAUUUCGAGGCUCAACCUCGAACUUGCGGUGGGUACGGGCAGACUAGAGUGUGGUAGGGGAGACUGGAAUUCCUGGUGUAGCGGUGAAAUGCGCAGAUAUCAGGAGGAACACCGAUGGCGAAGGCAGGUCUCUGGGCCACUACUGACGCUGAGAAGCGAAAGCAUGGGGAGCGAACAGG